GAUUUCUGACGAACCGGAGUGGCCCGUUUCCUUUCAGGGAAUGAGUGCCGCUUUGAGUUUGUCAUCCUUCCAGAGAGCUGCGUCUACCGUUUAUUCGGCCGGACGUAUGCGAUCUGGAUCUAUUACUUUGAAAAAAUUAGAGUGUUUAAAGCAGGCUUACGCUGUGAAUACAUUAGCAUGGAAUAAUAAUCUAGGACUUCGGUUCUAUUUUGUUGGUUUCUAUAACUGAAGUAAUGAUUGAUAGGGAUAGUUGGGGGUGCUAGUAUUGGCCGGCCAGAGGUGAAAUUCUUGGAUUCGGUCAAGACUAACUUAUGCGAAAGCAUU
rnacentral:rRNA from 1 species